ensembl:lncRNA
AUGGAAUAUUACCGUGAUUUAUAUCAAAAUGCCUCUGGAUCUGUAAAGAAGCGCUUCAUGCAUCCAGCAGCAGCAGCAUCACGGGCAAGGCCGAGGAGCAUCCCCGCCCGGCGGCGGCCACUGAUGCUCCAGCGCGGAUGCUCGGCCUUGUCCGUGAUGCUGCUCGCUGAUGGAGGAAGAAUAAACAACACGAAGCACGCAGUACCUGGCAGACGCUCCGCCAGACGGUGGGAUCGGUUCCACGCCAGCCCGCUCUCACGAGGACGCUGAUGUUCAGCCGUACAAAUGCAUCAACACGCUGACUGAAAACAAGCAGGGCAGAGAUGUUUUAGGACUGUAUCCUGGUCGGAUCGCAAGAGUUCACACCGUCAGCUCACAUCUGGACAUCUGAGACAGACACAGACACAUUUACAUAAGCCUACUGGUACAAACAGAAAAGUCACUUUGGAUCCUAUAAUCUGUUAAUAUUCUAUGAAUCAAAAUGUUUACAUUUUCUCAAACUAGCGGAGAAGAUUUGUUUAUGUAUUUUCUGACAGAUUCACACUAGUUUUUGUUGUCAGUAAAGCCCUUCCACCCAAUGCCAGCAAUACACUGCAGUUCACUCUAUGGCCACCAGGGGUUACUUUAGGCCACAUGCAACACACAUUAGGGUUCAUAAAUAAAUCACCAGUGCUUUAGCA